UACGGGGGGAGCAAGCGUUGUUCGGAUUUACUGGGCGUAAAGGGCGCGUAGGCGGCGCAACAAGUCACUUGUGAAAUCUCCGGGCUUAACCCGGAGCGGUCAAGUGAUACUGUCGUGCUAGAGUGCGGAAGGGGCUACUGGAAUUCUCGGUGUAGCGGUGAAAUUCGUAGAUAUUCGCAAGAACACCAGUGGCGAAGGCGGCUCACUGGCCCGAUACUGACGCUGAGGCACGAAAGCGUGGGGGAGCAAACAGG
rnacentral:rRNA from 1 species